rnacentral:lncRNA from 1 species
UUCUUUCCUUCCUAACAGACACAGAGACGUAAUUCUUUCAGUCCCGAAAAAGGCCCAGGCGAAAGAAGAGGCCAAGAACAGAACUCCAUGAAGACUCAAACCACUCCCCUGCAUAUAAGUAAUCAAUGAUAUAAGUAAUAAAUGAUAUAAGUAAUAAAUGAGAAAUGAUAUCAGAUCAACGAAGAAAGAGUCCGGAUUAUGUAUUUGAGCGAAGAAAGAGUCCGGAUUAUGUAUUUGAGCCUAAGAACAUAGACCUGUUCGGUAUUCACUCGACACUACUACAUAUCGGCACCAACAUCUACUCACUUCUUGACUGCCCCUUUACCCUUACCCGAUCCCAUGCCCAUGCCUAGCGAUCUAAGCCCGAAAGCAUAGAAUGACUUUUCGAAUUGAUCCAUAUAUUACUCGAUUGCAUGGAAUGACUUUUCUUAUCUAUCUAUAUAUUAACCGAUAGCAAGACAAGCCCUGGAUCCCAAUCCAAUUCCUCUCUCCUGGCAGCAAAGAAAGAAGGGGAGAUCCCCGCUAUCUAUCUACUGGUCACUUAUCCACUGGUCACUUUACUGGCUCAUAACUCGAGCAGUUGCUUGGCCAGACUUAUGCUUAUCCGCCAGGUGGUAACGGGACUACCCUCCUUAUCCUUUGCGGGGUCUACUUCCUUUGUUAUCCCUACCUAUACAUCUUUCCUUUCCCGCGUCGGGGAUGCCGGAAGCAAACACUUUGGAUCUUGUUUAUUUCAUAUUAAUAGUUCGCUCAGUAAAUCCUUCGUUGAAGCAACGGCUUACUCGCAAGAGGAGGCAUAGACUGUGGUGGCUUAUCGAGCAGCUCCACCAGUGCCAUCUAUUACACAGCAGCGGUGAAGCUAGCAGCAGAUACUUUAUGCAUUCCGGGAGAAAGAAAGCAAGUGGUCCCAAGAGCGGAUUUGAGUGCUGGAACUAGUUGUGCUCCUACUCAUACUGGGCCAAAGGACGGGGAUUCAAAUGACAAGAAUAGUGCCCAGCUACAUCAACGGUUCGAAAUCAGUUACUUGUAACAAAUCCAGACAAAGAAGUUGAUCCUUUAGAUUCUAUUGAUCCCCCGGUGAUCCAGUCCCUAUUUAGCAGAGUAGACCGAGGUCGGAAUGGGAUCGGGUCUUUUCACGUCUCACCGUAGUGCCCGUCUUUAUGAACAUAUUGGAUGACUCUGGCUACGUGUCCUUCCUUCCUGCCCUCAGAGCUGAUUCGACGGGAUGCCUAAGAGCAACGAAUUCUUCUUUCCUGAAAGAGCCUAUUCGAGAACAGUAAGAGCAGAUUCGAGGGCAUCAAUUCAUGGUUUCCUCUUCUUUGACUAUUAUACCUACCCAUGGGAACUGUGAACAACCGAUUCUUACACCUCAUCUGCACCUCAAAACAGGGCAUUAUCGAGCAGCUCCUUCUGUAACAGCAGCAGUUGAUUCAAUAGCAACGGAGUCAGUAACGGCGGAUUCUAGCACAACAACCUAUUCUAUAACAAGAAGAGCGGAUACGUCGUUCUUUCAAAGAGCGCUUAUUCCCCUUCAUGUAAAGCCUAUUCUCCUAACAUAAAGCAAAAAGGGAUUCAGGCUCAAGGCACUUUUGGACUCUAUUCCUUCUAAGGAGAGUGAAGAAUCAAUCCAUUGCUUUAAAUACGAAUAGUGGGCGUAUAUUUUCCAGUUACAGAAAGACGUAUAGUUUUAGGGGAAAGGAUAACCAUAGAACCGUUUUGAAAAUGGAUCAGUUGACCCGGUAUACGAAUUCAUUCUAACUAUCAACAAAUUGUGGCUCAAUGGGGAUUGUCAUUCUUUCUACUUUUUCCUUAAUUAAGUCCUAAGUUCUUCAGUAGCUCAGUGGUAGAGCGGUCGGCUGUUAACUGACUGGUCGUAGGUUCGAAUCCUACUUGGGGAGAUUGGAUUCAUGAUUUCUAGGUUAAUGAAGAAUAGAGUGAAAAGGAAGGAAGGGCUCG